GGGUUGUGAGGUUAAGCGACUAAGCGUACACGGUGGAUGCCCUGGCAGUCAGAGGCGAUGAAGGACGUGCUAAUCUGCGAAAAGCGUCGGUAAGGUGAUAUGAACCGUUAUAACCGGCGAUGUCCGAAUGGGGAAACCCAGUGUGAUUCGUCACACUAUCGUUAACUGAAUACAUAGGUUAACGAGGCGAACCGGGGGAACUGAAACAUCUAAGUACCCCGAGGAAAAGAAAUCAACCGAGAUUCCCCCAGUAGCGGCGAGCGAACGGGGAGCAGCCCAGAGUCUGAAUCAGCUUGUGUGUUAGUGGAACGGUCUGGAAAGUCCGACGGUACAGGGUGAUAGUCCCGUACACCAAAAUGCACAGGUUGUGAACUCGAAGAGUAGGGCGGGACACGUGGUAUCCUGUCUGAAUAUGGGGGGACCAUCCUCCAAGGCUAAAUACUCCUGACUGACCGAUAGUGAACCAGUACCGUGAGGGAAAGGCGAAAAGAACCCCGGCGAGGGGAGUGAAAAAGAACCUGAAACCGUGUACGUACAAGCAGUGGGAGCACCUUCGGGUGUGACUGCGUACCUUUUGUAUAAUGGGUCAGCGACUUAUAUUCUGUAGCAAGGUUAACCGUAUAGGGGAGCCGCAGGGAAACCGAGUCUUAACUGGGCGUUAAGUUGCAGGGUAUAGACCCGAAACCCGGUGAUCUAGCCAUGGGCAGGUUGAAGGUUGGGUAACACUAACUGGAGGACCGAACCGACUAAUGUUGAAAAAUUAGCGGAUGACUUGUGGCUGGGGGUGAAAGGCCAAUCAAACCGGGAGAUAGCUGGUUCUCCCCGAAAGCUAUUUAGGUAGCGCCUCGUGAACUCAUCUUCGGGGGUAGAGCACUGUUUCGGCUAGGGGGUCAUCCCGACUUACCAACCCGAUGCAAACUACGAAUACCGAAGAAUGUUAUCACGGGAGACACACGGCGGGUGCUAACGUCCGUCGUGAAGAGGGAAACAACCCAGACCGCCAGCUAAGGUCCCAAAGUCAUGGUUAAGUGGGAAACGAUGUGGGAAGGCACAGACAGCCAGGAUGUUGGCUUAGAAGCAGCCAUCAUUUAAAGAAAGCGUAAUAGCUCACUGGUCGAGUCGGCCUGCGCGGAAGAUGUAACGGGGCUAAACCAUGCACCGAAGCUGCGGCAGCGACACUAUGUGUUGUUGGGUAGGGGAGCGUUCUGUAAGCCUGCGAAGGUGACCUGUGAGGGUUGCUGGAGGUAUCAGAAGUGCGAAUGCUGACAUAAGUAACGAUAAAGCGGGUGAAAAGCCCGCUCGCCGGAAGACCAAGGGUUCCUGUCCAACGUUAAUCGGGGCAGGGUGAGUCGACCCCUAAGGCGAGGCCGAAAGGCGUAGUCGAUGGGAAACAGGUUAAUAUUCCUGUACUUGGUGUUACUGCGAAGGGGGGACGGAGAAGGCUAUGUUAGCCGGGCGACGGUUGUCCCGGUUUAAGCAUGUAGGCUGAUUGUCCAGGCAAAUCCGGAUAAUCAAGGCUGAGGUGUGAUGACGAGGCACUACGGUGCUGAAGUAACAAAUGCCCUGCUUCCAGGAAAAGCCUCUAAGCAUCAGGUAACAUCAAAUCGUACCCCAAACCGACACAGGUGGUCAGGUAGAGAAUACCAAGGCGCUUGAGAGAACUCGGGUGAAGGAACUAGGCAAAAUGGUGCCGUAACUUCGGGAGAAGGCACGCUGGUGUGUAGGUGAAGCCCCUGCGGGUGGAGCUGAGACCAGUCGAAGAUACCAGCUGGCUGCAACUGUUUAUUAAAAACACAGCACUGUGCAAACACGAAAGUGGACGUAUACGGUGUGACGCCUGCCCGGUGCCGGAAGGUUAAUUGAUGGGGUUAUCCGUAAGGAGAAGCUCUUGAUCGAAGCCCCGGUAAACGGCGGCCGUAACUAUAACGGUCCUAAGGUAGCGAAAUUCCUUGUCGGGUAAGUUCCGACCUGCACGAAUGGCGUAAUGAUGGCCAGGCUGUCUCCACCCGAGACUCAGUGAAAUUGAACUCGCUGUGAAGAUGCAGUGUACCCGCGGCAAGACGGAAAGACCCCGUGAACCUUUACUAUAGCUUGACACUGAACAUUGAGCCUUGAUGUGUAGGAUAGGUGGGAGGCUUUGAAGCGUGGACGCCAGUCUGCGUGGAGCCAACCUUGAAAUACCACCCUUUAAUGUUUGAUGUUCUAACGUUGGCCCCUUACCGGGGUUGCGGACAGUGUCUGGUGGGUAGUUUGACUGGGGCGGUCUCCUCCCAAAGCGUAACGGAGGAGCACGAAGGUUAGCUAAUCCUGGUCGGACAUCAGGAGGUUAGUGCAAUGGCAUAAGCUAGCUUGACUGCGAGCGUGACGGCGCGAGCAGGUGCGAAAGCAGGUCAUAGUGAUCCGGUGGUUCUGAAUGGAAGGGCCAUCGCUCAACGGAUAAAAGGUACUCCGGGGAUAACAGGCUGAUACCGCCCAAGAGUUCAUAUCGACGGCGGUGUUUGGCACCUCGAUGUCGGCUCAUCACAUCCUGGGGCUGAAGUAGGUCCCAAGGGUAUGGCUGUUCGCCAUUUAAAGUGGUACGCGAGCUGGGUUUAGAACGUCGUGAGACAGUUCGGUCCCUAUCUGCCGUGGGCGCUGGAGAAUUGAGGGGGGCUGCUCCUAGUACGAGAGGACCGGAGUGGACGCAUCACUGGUGUUCGGGUUGUCAUGCCAAUGGCACUGCCCGGUAGCUAAAUGCGGAAGAGAUAAGUGCUGAAAGCAUCUAAGCACGAAACUUGCCCCGAGAUGAGUUCUCCCUGAGACUUUAAGUCUCCUGAAGGAACGUUGAAGACGACGACGUUGAUAGGCCGGGUGUGUAAGCGCAGCGAUGCGUUGAGCUAACCGGUACUAAUGAACCGUGAGGCUUAACCUUACAACGCCGAAG
rnacentral:rRNA from 1 species